rnacentral:rRNA from 1 species
AUGAACGCUGGCGGCGUGCCUAAUACAUGCAAGUCGAGCGCACGGACGAGAAGCUUGCUUCUCUGAUGUUAGCGGCGGACGGGUGAGUAACACGUGGAUAACCUACCUAUAAGACUGGGAUAACUUCGGGAAACCGGAGCUAAUACCGGAUAAUAUUUUGAACCGCAUGGUUCAAAAGUGAAAGACGGUCUUGCUGUCACUUAUAGAUGGAUCCGCGCUGCAUUAGCUAGUUGGUAAGGUAACGGCCUACCAAGGCAACGAUGCAUAGCCGACCUGAGAGGGUGAUCGGCCACACUGGAACUGAGACACGGUCCAGACUCCUACGGGAGGCAGCAGUAGGGAAUCUUCCGCAAUGGGCGAAAGCCUGACGGAGCAACGCCGCGUGAGUGAUGAAGGUCUUCGGAUCGUAAAACUCUGUUAUUAGGGAAGAACAUAUGUGUAAGUAACUGUGCACAUCUUGACGGUACCUAAUCAGAAAGCCACGGCUAACUACGUG